CCUGCCCCUAUGUAUUGUAAGUGUGGCUGGUGUGCCACAUAGGCAUAGUAGGUGCCAGAGAAGAGAAACAUCAUGUCUACACUCAGUGUUCUAACCUAUGAACAUCUGAAUCCCCAGUAACCUAACAUC